rnacentral:rRNA from 1 species
GACGAACGCUGGCGGCGUGCUUAACACAUGCCAGUCGAACGGAAAGGCCCUGCUUUUGUGGGUUGCUCGAUUGGCGAACGGGUGAGUAACACGUGAGUAACCUGCCCUUGACUUUGUGAUAACUUCAGGAAACUGGGGCUAAUACCGGAUAGGAUCUCCUGCUGCAUGGGGGUGGUUGGAAAGUUUCGGCGGUUGGGGAUGGACUCGCGGGUUAUCAGCUUGUUGGUGGGGUAGUGGCUUACCAAGGCUUUGACGGGUAGGCGGCCUGAGAGGGUGACCGGCCACCUUGGGACUGAGAUACGGCCCAGACUCCUACGGGAGGCAGCAGUGGGGAAUAUUGCACAAUGGGCGGAAGCCUGAUGCAGCAACGCCGCGUGCGGGAUGACGGCCUUCGGGUUGUAAACCGCUUUCGCCUGUGACGAAGCGUGAGUGACGGUAAUGGGUAAAGAAGCACCGGCUAACUACGUG